rnacentral:sRNA from 1 species
CUCUUUCACUGCAAGGCGGCGGCGGGAGCGGUUGUGGUGCUAGUUUUUCUAAGCCAUCCAGUGCCAUCCUCGUCGCUGCAGCGACACACGCGCUCGCCGCCGCCAUGACUGAGCAGAUGACCCUUCGUGGCACCCUCAAGGGCCACAACGGCUGGGUAACCCAGAUCGCUACUACUCCGCAGUUCCCGGACAUGAUCCUCUCCGCCUCUCGAGGUACGGACUAAGAUAAGACCAUCAUCAUGUGGAAACUGACCAGGGAUGAGACCAACUAUGGAAUUCCACAGCGUGCUCUGCGGGGUCACUCCCACUUUGUUAGUGAUGUGGUUAUCUCCUCAGAUGGCCAGUUUGCCCUCUCAGGAUCCUGGGAUGGAACCCUGCGCCUCUGGGAUCUCACAACGGGCACCACCACGAGGCGAUUUGUGGGCCAUACCAAGGAUGUGCUGAGUGUGGCCUUCUCCUCUGACAACCGGCAGAUUGUCUCUGGAUCUCGAGAUAAAACCAUCAAGCUAUGGAAUACCCUGGGUGUGUGCAAAUACACUGUCCAGGAUGAGAGCCACUCAGAGUGGGUGUCUUGUGUCCGCUUCUCACCCAACAGCAGCAACCCUAUCAUCGUCUCCUGCGGCUGGGACAAGCUGGUCAAGGUGAGCUUCAAGCCAAGGCAGGGGCUUUACCAGUCAGGGUGUGCUCCCAGGUGGUCAUACACUCCAAGUCCUGUGGAAAGCUUUACAGAUUCCCUCAGUUGACUCUUUCUCUUGUCACAUGGUCUGAUGUCCCUUGUAAGCACACUGCAUUGGAUAUGUGUUAUAAUCUAACGUGAAGUGGCCAGGACAUGUUACUGAAUGAGAAAUGGCUACCGUAUCCAGAAGUGCCAAGCCCUUUUUUGUUGGGCAUGACCCUAGCUCAUCAAGAGCUAGGAUGUUCACCUGUCAACCGCACGUCUAUGCAGGUAUGGAACCUGGCUAACUGCAAGCUGAAGACCAACCACAUUGGCCACACAGGCUAUCUGAACACGGUGACUGUCUCUCCAGAUGGAUCCCUCUGUGCUUCUGGAGGCAAGGUAUUUGGGGACAAGGCGUCUCCUACUCA